GUUUUCGUGGCCUAGCGGUUAUGGCGUCUGCUUUACAUUGUGCAAUGCACGCAGAAGAUCGCCGGUUCGAUCCCGGCCGAGAACA